rnacentral:misc_RNA from 1 species
AAGUUUACUUGCCUAGGCAGU